GAACCCCGCUUCUGGUUGUUGUUGGGGUGGCAGGAGGAGGAAGAGGAAAAGCGUGCGUCAGGAGGAUGGUCGGCCGGGCCACACCUGAGCCACCCCAAGGAACUUUUGGAAUUUCCCCCAUUGUGUGCGACAAGCAGGCUUGUCCUUGGCGCCAUGGACCUGCUUCCGGUGCGUGCUAGGCCACCCCACCCAGGUGUCCGAGGGGAGCCUGGGGCCUGGGGGCACGAGGAGGGGCCUGUGGUCUCAGGCAAGUCACAUCCCUCUUGUGAGCCUCAGUUUCCUCACUGGCAAGAGGGAGAGGACAGUUCCAGCCUUGUGUGGCUGUUGUGGGGAUAAAUGAACGGAUGCUGUGACCAGAGCUGGCUGACAGAAACGGUGGCGCACGUGAGGAUCAUUAUGCCUUCUCUUUCCUUACUCUGCUGGAACACUGAGCAGGUCACGUCUCCUUGGAGGAUGAAGACGGCCCAGCCUAGCCCCUCAAUACCACCUUCUUCUUCUCCUCCUCCUUUUCCUCCUCCUCCUUCUUAUUUUUAGAUUUAUUUUAUUUAUUUUGAGAGAUAGAAAGAGAGCAGGGGGAGGGGCAGAGGAAGAGGGAGAAAAGUCCCCAAGCAGACUCCCCACUGAGCCUGGAGCCCAACGCAGGGCACCUGAGAUCAUGACCAGAGGCUCAACUGACUGGGCCACUCAGGCACCCCUCAAUACCUUUUUCUAUGGCAACACAACGGAGGGUCAUGAUCUUGGCCUUGGGAACCAGGAGAGUCUGGGUUCAAAUCCCAGCUCAGCCGUAAAUAAGCAGAAUGGCUUUGAGCAACUCACUUUAUCACUUGAGCCUCAGUCUCUUCAUCUGUAAAGUGGGAAUCAACUUUUCCUUCCUUCUCCGUUAAGUUGAUGAGAGAAGUGUUUGAGGUGACCUAGGAAAGCUCUUGCCAUUGUCUGGCUUACAGUUUUUAGUGGUAGUAUCUGGAUCAUAAUGAUGUUGACAAUGAUGACCCUGUGGUUAUUGUCUUAAAGACAACUCCAGAAGACCCUGGGAAAUAUUUGUACGCCACCCCAGGGGACAAGAUGAAGCCAUUAGCCUUCACUCACAUAGUAGAACAUGUAUAUUGGACAAGGCAGCUGUUCCUGAGCAAGACCUCGAGGGAUGGGACAGGAGACAGACAAGUUCUGAAUAUGGCAGCAAUCAUUCUGAAUAAGGAUGUUUACUCCCAGGCCUGGGAUUUAUCUGGAAUGUAGAUGCCCUUUGCUUCUCAGAAGGCUUUUUUAAAAAGAUUUUAUUUAUUUUAUUUGAGAGAGAGUGCAUGCGAGUGGGGUGGAAGAGCAGAGGGAGGGGAAGAGAGAGAAUCUGAAGCAGACUCCCCGCUGAGCGCAGAGCCAACCCCGAGAUCAUGACCUGAGCUCAAGAGGCAGACGCUUAACCGACUGGGCCAGCCAGGCGCCCCGCUUCUCAGAAGGUUUGAGACAGCACGGUUACCACUGCCCUAUGGGACCUUUGUGAGACUCGGAUAAUAGGAUGGUCGGGAGAGAAGUGAAUAAAGCACAGAGUACAGUUCUCACGACUGUCACAGAUGCCCCCGUGAAGCCUGCCAGGUGGGACCAAGGCAUCCCCCCCUGGGGAACCAACGAUGGGGCCUUUCCCUACGUCCCCGAUAACACUGAGUUUAAUAGAGCCAGCUACUUCAGAUGAGAGUUUUCUCUUGUGUGCAUAUCCUUUCAACCUGUGGUGCUGCCCGUCACUUGUCUGCUACCAGGAAUGUGGGUGGAGGACUGGAAAACACAAUAGUACCCACAGCGGCCUGUAUCGGAGCCCUGGCUCUUGGUGACCUCAGUUUCCCCAACUGAAAAGUGGCAGCUCAGCGAAUAGAGGAUGUACAGGAGGACAUUCAGGAGGUGCUCAGGAAACAGACCCCUUUCUGAAGGAGUCUGGGGGCCUGUUGACUUGUACAGGUGUAGGACGGGGCUCCCGGCAGGGAGUAGAGUCAGCUUUAUCAGAAUAACAGGAGGGGAAACGCACGGAGACUGAGGUGGCAGUCCAGCCAGGCAUGGCCACUCCUCCAAGUCAUCAGGGGCCCAUGCGCCGUCACUCUUUCUGCCUCCUGCCCCCACUGGCCCCCUCAUCCAGCUGGAGGUUCACGCUCAGCUGUCACGUUGGCAUUUCAAGCGGCAGGAAGGAGGGAGGACCAACGAGAGUGCCUCGUCUCUCUGCCCCAUUCAAGGGGGCUUUCUGGAAGUCCUGGUCAACAACUGCUCUUCAGCCCCAUUGGCCAGCACCCGUCACUUGGCCACCUGUAGCCUCAAGCCUCUGGAAGAGCCUUCACCUACGCUGCGAGGAAGAGGAAGAAAAACUGGUUCCAGGGUUUAAGGCUGAAACAUUGUAGCGCUAGGAGCAAAACGAUGAGCCCUGGGGCGCCACCUGGUGGGCUGAAGCAGAAUGGCAGCACACUCUGCAAUGGGCCCAGGCCUAAGCUUCUGCCUCUUCCAGAGCGUGAGGACCUGCUCCUGACCCUAGAUGGUGCGGAAAGGACGGGGUGUCAAGCUUCUAUGGCCCUUGUGGCCUCAGCUGCAUGAAGACCUGGAGGGCGGGGAGAGAGUUACCUGCAGGUUCCCGAACCCCUCCCCUCCAACACAGCCUCAGACUUCUGUCUGCCCCCAUUUCUCUUUUCUGGAUUUUAAAUGGAAGACAUGUGAAAGUCCGUGGGCUGGACUGGCUGUCCUCACUACAGGCCUUUGAUCUUCCCCUGCCAGUGAGACCCAGUGGCACAGCUGGAAGGCAGAUGCUAGCAGAACCUGCCUUUGCCCUGUUCAUGCCCAUGCAGGCCCAGGAAAUCACCUGCAACAGCACCUACGCAAAGCAAGUUCAAAGCCUGGCUUUGCCCAUCACCGGCUGUGUGACCAGGGUCAGGCCCUGCGACGGCAUGGAGCCUCCUGACUUCCCGAGCCCCACUGGCUGGGGCUGGAGGACAUGCCGAAGCCCACCUCGCUGCAGAAUCCAAGAGAGCUGUGACCACGCUCCAGAGCUCUUUAGCUCCUUGCUUAGAAACCUUUCCUCGGGGCGCCUGGGAGGCUCAGUCGGUUACGCGUCUGUCUUCGGCUCAGGUCAUGAUCCCGGGGUCCUGGGACUGAGCCUGGGAUGGAGCCUGGGAUGGAGCCCCUUGUCCGCUCCUUGCUCAGCGGGGAGCCUGUUUCUCCCUCUCCCUCUGCUGCUCCCCCUGCUUGUGCUCUCUCUGUCAAAUAAAUAAAAUCUUAAA